UAGGAUGUGGCUCAGCUGCUAGAGUACUUGCCUCAUGAGCAUCAAAUCCUGGGUUCAAUUCCCAGCACCCCAU
rnacentral:tRNA from 1 species